rnacentral:lncRNA from 1 species
CCGAGUUCUUCCGCCGUGUAAUCACAGCUUCCACAUGUCCUGUAUCGACACGUGGCUUGUCUCUCACUCUUCCUGUCCCAAUUGUCGGCACUCGCUCAUCGAGUUACACGUGGCAGGAUCAACCUAAACUAUAGCAAGCUGCUCAGAGUGAUUAGUCGUAAGUUGAUUUAGUUAUUUGUCAGAUUAUGGGCUCCUGGUAGCUCUAGCAGUUGUGAUAGUCUAUUACAGUUGUAGACUUUUUUUUUAAGUAAGUAAUCAGUCUUUGCAUACAAUAUGGUUCAUGGGGAGUGAUUUUUUUUUAAGUACGUAAAGCCCGAAAGAAAAUAUGAGACCGAAUUAUUCGGGUAUAAUUACAUGGAAAAUUAACAGGCCCAUAAUAAAAACACCACUAUGUUUGGUUUUUAGAGGUAAAACAGCACUAAAUAAUGGUCCAACAUAAUCAUUUGGUCCGAGAGUUUGGUCCCAGAAACUAACCUGCAAAGAGGGCUCAGGGGUGGACCGGGUGGUAAUCGAUACAGGUCGAACAAAGCCGGCCACACUGGAGACAAGUGCCGUAGUAAAUGUACGGCUCUUACUUAAGUAGGUGCAGAAAUAUUGUCUAGCAUCCUAAUUUCUGCUAUAUGGUAGUGGUAUAUGGUAACGCAUGUUGAAAUAAUUAAUUUUAUCUUAUAUAACAGUUGAAUAAAUGAAAAAAAUAAAAUAGUUAAAUUUCAAUAAGUAUUUAAAAAUGUUUUAUUCAUUUCAUUUUAAAAUAACAUUAAUUUUACUAUUUAUAUUUUAUUAUAAUUAUCAUAGACUAUAGACUUAUCUUACCACUGAAUUUUCAUGUGUAUUAUUUUUUCAAUGUUUGUUUAUCUUAACUAUGAUAGUAAGUAAAAUAAAAUAUUUUCUGAUAUAAAUUUGUUUCUUGAAUUCUUUGGUAUUUUCUUUUCUUAUUGAACAUUUUCUCUUAAAUUUGAUAUAUGCAUCUCUUUUAUUUUCAAGAAUAAUAUAUUUUCUUAACUAGUUUCAUAUAUGCAUAUUUUGUAAUUUGUAAAAUUUUAACUACUGUAGUUUUUGUCAGUUAAUAAAAAUAUUUUAGGUGGUUGAGAAUAAUAUAUAUAUAUAUAUAUAUAUUCAUUACAUCGGUUUUAUUAGAGACAAAAUAUCCGGCAAAGUGUCUCUAUUUUAUCUCCUUUUUAGCAAUUACUGCCCUACAAAUUGUUCAGCCACAUAACCCAAAAUCUGAAAAAAAAAAAAAGGAUAAUGGUCCCCACUCUGUCUAAACAGAUAACCACAAACCGAGAGAGAGACUACGCAGUUAGACUUGACUAGUAUCCUCAUUAACACGUAUCUCUCUACACACAAAACCUAACGAAGCUGAGAGGGAGCCUCCUAGUCGAUCGUACCCGAGAAUGCACCGGCUGCUACUUGAAUCCCACGUUGGCGGUGGAGGAGGAGAUGGGUACCUGAGGGACAUGAACUUCGACGCAAACAUGGUGAUCAUACUCUCUGCUCUGCUCUGCGCUUUGAUACUUGCGCUUGGGCUCAAUUCGAUACUCCGGUGUGCGAUGCGAUGCGGCUUCGGGCUAUCCUCAGCGGCAUCGACGGUGGCGGCAGACAGGCCCGGAUUGAAGAAGCGAGAACUGAAGAGGUUUCCCGUGGCCGCGUACGGGUCGAGCGGGGUGGAGAUAGCUACGACGGAGUGCGCCAUCUGUCUGGGGGAGUUCGCGGACGGUGAGAAGGUCCGAGUUCUUCCGCCGUGUAAUCACAGCUUCCACAUGUCCUGUAUCGACACGUGGCUUGUCUCUCACUCUUCCUGUCCCAAUUGUCGGCACUCGCUCAUCGAGUUACACGUGGCAGGAUCAACCUAAACUAUAGCAAGCUGCUCAGAGUGAUUAGUCGUAAGUUGAUUUAGUUAUUUGUCAGAUUAUGGGCUCCUGGUAGCUCUAGCAGUUGUGAUAGUCUAUUACAGUUGUAGACUUUUUUUUUAA